CUCCCACCUCAGCCUCCCAAACAGCUGGGAUUACAGGUGUGAGCCACCACCCCAGGGCCUUUUUUCCCUUUUUUAUGAUUGUAUGAUUGCAGUUUUUGACUCAAAAAAAAAAAAACCCUUGUUUUUACAAUGAAAAUAAAAUAUUUCACUUCCAAAAAAAAAAUCACGUAUUAGAAGCCAGUUGUGAUGUGGGAAAACACCAACAAUAAGAUGUUAAGUGAGAACCAGCAAAGACAGGCUGUGUUUCGGUACAGUCUGAGUGUUUGCAAACCACGAGUCUGCCUGCAUUGGUCUCUCGGUGUUGGAAUUAUCGGGGAUGUUUUAUGCUACCUGGCGUUCGCCAGUUUUCCAAAAUGUGUGUAAUGAACUUGCAUUGCUCUUACUGGGGCUCAUUUUCUAUGCAUCCCAUUGCUAUUAAAUAAAUUACUGCAAAGAAUUUUGUUCCUUAAAGAGAUUUGGCGCAGCCGGACAGCCAUACCGAGCAAGUCAUGGCGGGGGACAGGAGGCAGGUUUCAGAAGUAGCUGAGGUGCUGCGGUCUGAAUGUCUGUGUCACCCCGAAAUUCCUAUGUUGCAACCUCACCCCCAAGCCUGGACAGACGAAGACAGUCUGGUGGGCACAAUGACGCCCCCACAGAGCAGCGAUUGCACUGCAGCCACCCAGACCCCACCGCUCCCAGCUGCUGAUCCUGGUGAGGUUCUUCCUUCAGAUCAGCCCCUCCCGCCCCUCACAGUUCCAGAGCUGCCCCUUCUGCCAUCGUGCUCUGCAGCCAGAGAGCGGAGGGCUUCCCAGGAACUCCACCGAUAGUGCCUGCUUCCUGAGGAAGCUGUGACAGAAACUUCCAGAUUUUGCACUGUUCUGAGAGAGCUUUGAAGAGGAGGAAAGAGCUUCGGGGGAAAGGAAACAGCCCCGAGGGGUCUGACACCAAGGCGGCUGGCAGGAUUGAAGCCAAGUGACACAGAGGCCACCUCCACUCGCUAACUGUGGGUCCGGGGUUCGAGGGCUUCGGGAGGAAAGCAGCAAGGUCGAGCUGAAUUCAGCACGAUACUUUCCGGUCCCAGUUCGCUGAAACCACACAUGAAACACUCCGGUUGGGCUCUGGGCAUUUAAAAAGGACAAAACAACCUGCCCAGGCCGGGUGUAUUGGAGCCGCUAGGAAGAAAAAGUAAAAACAGCCAUCGGAGUCUCCAACACAGAUGCCAUCCCUGCCGAAACAGGGUGACCCGGUCACGGGUCAAAGCUAUGUAGAAAUAACUCAUUUCAUAACACACAGUUGGUGGCUGAUAAGAUUUUUUAAUUUCCAAACCUGCACCUCCCUGGUUGCCGCGCGGUGAGAUAAAAGGCGCUAAGAGCAAGCGUCUUUCGAAACACUUCGCUUGCGUGGGAA